GACGAACGCUGGCGGCGUGCUUAACACAUGCAAGUCGAACGGAAAGGCCCUGCUUUUGUGGGGUGCUCGAGUGGCGAACGGGUGAGUAACACGUGAGUAACCUGCCCUUGACUUUGGGAUAACUUCAGGAAACUGGGGCUAAUACCGGAUAGGAGCUCCUGCUGCAUGGUGGGGGUUGGAAAGUUUCGGCGGUUGGGGAUGGACUCGCGGCUUAUCAGCUUGUUGGUGGGGUAGUGGCUUACCAAGGCUUUGACGGGUAGCCGGCCUGAGAGGGUGACCGGCCACAUGGGGACUGAGAUACGGCCCAGACUGCUACGGGAGGCAGCAGUGGGGAAUAUUGCACAAUGGGCGGAAGCCUGAGGCAGCAACGCCGCGUGCGGGAUGACGGCCUUCGGGUUGUAAACCGCUUUCGCCUGUGACGAAGCGUGAGUGACGGUAAUGGGUAAAGAAGCACCGGCUAACUACGUG
rnacentral:rRNA from 1 species